UUUGUAUAUGACUUUUAAAACAAGAGGACAACACAGUAUUUUUCAAAAUUGUAUAUAGCGCAUAUGCAUGGAUAAAGCAAGCGUGGCACGUGUUUGCAUAAUGUUUAAUUACAAAAAUAUUUAUUCUUUAAAAAGCUUCAAGAUUAUGUCUAUUUGCUGUGCAUUUUCUUUCAGUUGGCUUUAUCUUUCUAGGGUUGGGUUGGGAUAAAGGUGUUUGUUAAGCCCCUCUGCAAGACCUAACUAGAGUGCUUUCCCCCUCCUGAGGUCAGUUUGCCCUUUGUGGUUUGGUUGUAUCUUUUGCUGGCCAUGGGCCUCAUGCCUAGAAUUCUCCGCUUCUGGAUCUAGAUCCAGGAAGUCACAUUCUAAGCAAAUGCCUCGGCCUGUUAAAGGGUUUAGUUGCUUCAGUUCAUGAAUGAUCCUAUCCCAGCCUACUCCUCUGUGGCCUUGACGCCCCCAUUCCAGCCUGUGUGCCCACACCACGCACACUGCCUGCCGUAGGCUUUCUAGGCUUCCCAUCACAUCUCGGGGAGGCAUUUCAAAGUUUCUUUUCCUGUUUUAUUUUUCCUGAAUUGCUGCUUUGAGCCUUUUAAAUUUUAGUUAUGGCUCGUCUCUCAUCCCUUCUUUAUGUUAGGGUGUUGAAUACAAUGUUUUCACUUUAAAUAUAAAUAAAUAGCCAUUCACUUAGUCUGAGAUUGUGAAUUAAAAUGGUGGAUACUGAAAUUACUUGUGUGUGUUGCGGUGGGUUCAGUUUGAAGGCAAACACCACUAGAACAUGAUACUCCCAUCCAGUACAUUUGAGUAGGAAUCACUGAGUUUUGCUUCUUUUCUAUUGUCAGCAUAUAGGAGAAUAAUGCAUUUUAGCUGUGAUGUCCAUUUUUAUGAAAUUUCUACUAAAAGCUAUGUUAAAAGUAAAGGAUGGUGGUGGUUUUAUUAACUAUAUACUUGUUUAGGCCAUUCUGCCUGUGGUAUUUUUCAACAGGUCAGCAUCCCUAAGACUGUCAGUUUUAUAUAAGAGUGCAGAGUGAACUAGGCAACUAGAUCAAGAGGUAAAACUAUUAAAUGCCAGUUUUGGCUGAGGACCUCUUUGUCUUCCUUUAACUGUCCUGUGCCUAGGGAGUGUUUACCAUUUGUGAGGCAGCCGUGCCUGCUCUUGCAGUGUACAUCUUAUUACUCCAUUGGGAAGUAGGCUCACUUUCCUCUGGCUUUUUGCCUAAGUUAGGCUUUGCUGAAUCACCCUACUUUUCCUUUUAGAAAGGUUGUUACAUGAGAUGUACUUGCAACUGUUCUUUUCCCAUCAGAAAUCAGUGAAUGUUUGCUGAGUAUAUUAUGCUGCUUCCUCAAACCACUUGUCGCUUUAGGAUCAACUUGUAUCUUUUUCUUCCCUUUCCUUGUCACCUCAGGUGGCAAAUCUGAAGUCAAGUGUCUGCUUUUCCAUUUUCUCUAUCCCCUAUCAUUCUCCCAUUAUCCAUUUGACUUUAUUUUAAAUAAUUGCAUCAAUCUUAAGACCUUUAUCAACACCAAGGAGAUUUCAAAGAAAGCUCAAGUAAGUUCCUUUUCCUGGUGACUUUGAAAAGCGACCAGAAUUGUCACAUAGAUAUAUGUGGUCCCUUAAAAUGCUUUGUGUAUGUGGUGUUUAAAAAGAGUUGACUUCACAGUAUCUAGGUCUGAGUGUCAUAAGUUCUCUUCAUGCUCUGCCCUGCAACAAGCGUCCAAAAAAGAGUGUGCAUCUCAUAGUCUCAGUCCCCACCACGGAGGGAUAGUGUAGUUGGUGACACUUUCUAGUCCCACAUGGGACCUGAGGAUAUUGCACUCACAAUUUGUGUGGAUCAAGGGGAACUGGCUCUUCUGCUACAUCCAAGUUUUUAACAACCGUCUCCAUAUCUGACAGCAUUUCCAGAAUUUACCUGCCUUUGUCAGUAGCUAGCUUCAGUGCUCCCAGCUGGGACAGGCAAGCCAUAUUGUUAACAGCUUCCCUAUUUGACCUACCCAAGUCUCUCAGAGGGCUCUACUUAAACAUCAGGGUCUCCCUGUGUUGUUGAGAUCAGUUACAUUGUCAGUGCAUGCUUCAUUUGAGCAAUUCAUUGAGCAACAGGUGAAUUUUCAAUGAUUUACAAUAAAAUUUUGAUCCAAAGCUCAGGAGACAUACCAUAGUGGUAAAUGGAGUAGCAUAUAACAUUACCAGACUCUAAAUUCUUUGUAAUUUGCUGCAACCCAGAUUGUAUAUGUUUUAUGUGUGUUCAAAUAAAUAUAUUAAAGACACACGUGUAUACAUACACACAAAUAGAUCCAAGACUGACUUGAUUUGAAAUGGUUGAAUCUGCAGUGUAAUGUGUGGUUCACCUGUUAAGUAGGACUUGAAAUUUAGAACAAGAAGAGUAAAAGGCUUAAAUGUAACAAAUUCUUUUAGCUAUGUCCGGUAUAGAGCACUUGGGGGAUGGGAUGGGGUGGGUUGGUGAGACAAUCAGAUCGAUAAAUUGAUUAAAUGCUCCUAACCCUGUAAUUUUGUGCAUAGAGCACCUUGUGCUGUGGAAAUAACUGUUCUUAGAUUUUCAUUGUAACUGGACUGUUCAGGUUGCCCAGAGGGAAAGAACAUUCCUAAUUCUAAUAAAAUAAACUUUUAUUUUGUUAUUCC
rnacentral:lncRNA from 1 species